rnacentral:piRNA from 1 species
UUCGUCCACAAUCGUUUCACU